rnacentral:snoRNA from 1 species
CCCCAAUGUUCUUUGUCAGGAUCCCAUCCUUUUUCUUCCAGUGGUGGUGGUCUGUUAUAACAUUGGGAGAUUGACUGCCUUUGUCGACUGUUGCAACCUCGUGUUGUCAACUGAUGUGUUCCGUUUUGGAUACCGUCAUGAGAAAGGCUGCGUGUCAGAUUUGAGUUGAAGUAUACCUAUGCCGUUCUUUCUGGCAUUGAUUGUACGCUUCUUAGUGAUGACACAUACAUAA